rnacentral:rRNA from 1 species
GAUGAACGCUAGCUACAGGCUUAACACAUGCAAGUCGAGGGGCAGCGGGAUUGAAGCUUGCUUCAAUUGCCGGCGACCGGCGCACGGGUGAGUAACGCGUAUCCAACCUUCCGUACACUCAGGGAUAACCCGGAGAAAUCCGGCCUAAUACCUCAUAGCACAUAUUAUUCGCAUGAGUUUUAUGUUAAAGAGACUCGGUUACAGAUGAACAUGCGUUCCAUUAGCUGGUUGGCGGGGUAACGGCCCACCAAGGCAACGAUGGAUAGGGGUUCUGAGAGGAAGGUCCCCCACAUUGGAACUGAGACACGGUCCAAACUCCUACGGGAGGCAGCAGUGAGGAAUAUUGGUCAAUGGACGAGAGUCUGAACCAGCCAAGUAGCGUGCAGGAUGACGGCCCUAUGGGUUGUAAACUGCUUUAUAAGGGAAUAAAGUGAGUCUCGUGAGGCUUUUGCAUGUACCUUAUGAAUAAGGACCGGCUAAUUCCGUGCCAGCAGCCG